rnacentral:pre_miRNA from 1 species
AGUGGAAUAGCUGGGUCAAAUGAUGGUUCCAUUCCCAGUUUUCUAGGGAAGCUCCAUACUGCUUUCCAGAUUGGUUGCACCAGUUUGCAGUCCCACCAGCAAU